GGGCCGUUCACCGUCAGACGUCACACGGGAGCUGGCUCGAGUUCUGGAUAGCGACCUGUUUGUAAAGAGAGAGCUCCUGCUUUGGAUUUCUGUUCUCUUUGGAAAAUAUAGUGAUGCCCGGAAGUAGGGGAGCGCGCUAGUUCUUCAGACCUCGAAGGUUUUUCUACCUCUUCAUACGUCUUCAACGUGCUUGGCGCCUUCUUCUGUUUCGCACUCGAAAAAGGGACGAAGCGCAGUCAAGAGCAAAGAGCGGCGAGGACGACGGAGUUCGAAAGACGAGACCGGCGGGCAAUUCUGAACUUUCUAAACCGCAAAGGUGCAGUGAUCUAGAGAGAAAAACAAGAUAGCGAACAAGGGGAGAUGAGCAGAGCCAUGCGAGCUACGUGGAUCCUCCAGAACAGCAACCUACACAUAUGGGAGUCUAUCGCGUUUGGGCGUCGCUGCAUUGUCCUGGGAGGAGGCAUCAAUUCUGAGGCAGAAUCAUUUUACCAUGCAGCAGCAGUUCAGCGAGACUGUACUCGAGUUAUGAAGGCGCAAAGAAAACCGAAUAUGCAACUCUGCUCGUGGAAAUCGAAAGAGCUGCCCCAUGUCGUCCUUUAUACUAAACGUGGAGUUGGUAACCGUUGUCACAACACGAUCUGGCUGUUUGACAACGACUUCCAGAUGCACGGUAUAUAUAUAUAUAUAUAUAUAUAUAUAUAUAUGUAUAUAUGCGGCGUAAAAAAUAUGCGAACAGAGACUCUUGCUACGUUAGCGCGGGUGCUCCCUUUCGAUUCUUUAGUCCGCGAACGCAUAGUUCUGUGGUGGCACAGCGACGGGAAGCUUUGUUCUCUAAUUAAGAGGCGUCGCCGAUGACGGACGCGCGUG
rnacentral:lncRNA from 1 species